AUUGAACGCUGGCGGCAUGCCUUACACAUGCAAGUCGAACGGCAGCGGACCUUCGGGUGCCGGCGAGUGGCGAACGGGUGAGUAAUGUAUCGGAACGUACCUUUCAGUGGGGGAUAACGUAGCGAAAGUUACGCUAAUACCGCAUAUUCUGUGAGCAGGAAAGCAGGGGAUCGCAAGACCUUGCGCUGAUUGAGCGGCCGAUAUCAGAUUAGCUAGUUGGUGAGGUAAAGGCUCACCAAGGCGACGAUCUGUAGCGGGUCUGAGAGGAUGAUCCGCCACACUGGAACUGAGACACGGUCCAGACUCCUACGGGAGGCAGCAGUGGGGAAUUUUGGACAAUGGGGGCAACCCUGAUCCAGCCAUGCCGCGUGAGUGAAGAAGGCCUUCGGGUUGUAAAGCACUGUAAGCGAGGAGGAAUGGCUGAGGGUUAAUAACCUUCAGCAGUGACGUUACUCGCAGAAUAAGCACCGGCUAACUCUGUGCCAGCAGCCGCCGUAAGAC
rnacentral:rRNA from 1 species